UACGGGGGGGGCAAGCGUUGUUCGGAAUUACUGGGCGUAAAGGGCCAGUAGGCGGCCAACUAAGUCCGACGUGAAAUCCCCAGGCUUAACCUGGGAACUGCAUCCGAUACUGGAUGGCUUGAAUCCGGGAGAGGGAUGCAGAAUUCCAGGUGUAGCGGUGAAAUGCGUAGAUAUCUGGAGGAAUACCGGUGGCGAAGGCGGCAUCCUGGACCGGCAUUGACGCUGAUGAGCGAAAGCUAGGGGAGCAAACGGG
rnacentral:rRNA from 1 species